AUGUGUGUGUUUCACAUUUUGCAAUUGUCUCACUGGUCUUGGGUUUGCUGUGCCAUAUUUUUAUUUUUUUUUUUUUUUUUUUUUUUUUUUUUUUUUUUUUUUUUUUUUUUUUUUUUUUUUUUUUUUUUUUUUUUUUUUUUUUUUUUUUUUUUUUUUUUUUUUUUUUUUUUUUUUUUUUUUUUUUUUUUUUUUUUUUUUUUUUUUUUUUUUUUUUUUUUUUUUUUUUUUUUUUUUUUUUUUUUUUUUUUUUUUUUUUUUUUUUUUUUUUUUUUUUUUUUUUUUUUUUUUUUUUUUUUUUUUUUUUUUUUUUUUUUUUUUUUUUUUUUUUUUUUUUUUUUUUUUUUUUUUUUUUUUUUUUUUUUUUUUUUUUUUUUUUUUUUUUUUUUUUUUUUUUUUUUUUUUUUUUUUUUUUUUUUUUUUUUUUUUUUUUUUUUUUUUUUUUUUUUUUUUUUUUUUUUUUUUUUUUUUUUUUUUUUUUUUUUUUUUUUUUUUUUUUUUUUUUUUUUUUUUUUUUUUUUUUUUUUUUUUUUUUUUUUUUUUUUUUUUUUUUUUUUUUUUUUUUUUUUUUUUUUUUUUUUUUUUUUUUUUUUUUUUUUUUUUUUUUUUUUUUUUUUUUUUUUUUUUUUUUUUUUUUUUUUUUUUUUUUUUUUUUUUUUUUUUUUUUUUUUUUUUUUUUUUUUUUUUUUUUUUUUUUUUUUUUUUUUUUUUUUUUUUUUUUUUUUUUUUUUUUUUUUUUUUUUUUUUUUUUUUUUUUUUUUUUUUUUUUUUUUUUUUUUUUUUUUUUUUUUUUUUUUUUUUUUUUUUUUUUUUUUUUUUUUUUUUUUUUUUUUUUUUUUUUUUUUUUUUUUUUUUUUUUUUUUUUUUUUUUUUUUUUUUUUUUUUUUUUUUUUUUUUUUUUUUUUUUUUUUUUUUUUUUUUUUUUUUUUUUUUUUUUUUUUUUUUUUUUUUUUUUUUUUUUUUUUUUUUUUUUUUUUUUUUUUUUUUUUUUUUUUUUUUUUUUUUUUUUUUUUUUUUUUUUUUUUUUUUUUUUUUUUUUUUUUUUUUUUUUUUUUUUUUUUUUUUUUUUUUUUUUUUUUUUUUUUUUUUUUUUUUUUUUUUUUUUUUUUUUUUUUUUUUUUUUUUUUUUUUUUUUUUUUUUUUUUUUUUUUUUUUUUUUUAAUGUUUGAGUGA
rnacentral:lncRNA from 1 species